GAUGAACAGGAAGGGGCUCAGGACGGAACCUCGCUCCGGAUUUCACUUGAAAGCCCCCCGACACCCCAUAGCCGCUUCACACGUGCACUCUCCCUCGUUCACGCUGAUCCUGGAUCAGCCGGACGUACACCUCAGGGAUUCCUCUUCUUCUCAUGCACCACCAGCUGAGUGGACUUGCUGAAGACCGGUACCAGCAGUGUCAAGAUCGGCCUCCAAGCUAAGUUCUUUAGUUCGUAUUUGUUAUACAUUUGCUAUAAUUUUACAACAUAUACUCCCUUCUUAAGUUAAAAUGUUACUGUUUGCGUGGGUUUGUGUAAACAUGUUUGUUAUUUAACGUAUUGUCUUUAGUCUAACACUUAACGGUUGUAUGUGUUAAGAUCCUACCUUUUUUACGAUUUUUUUAUUUUUUUAAAGAUCCUAAUUUUUUUUUAGUUUUUGUAUUUUAAAAAGUUCGUUUUGAACGGAUUUUUGUAUGAUUUUAUGACUCAGUUUUUAACGGGGUAUUUUUUUCAUCCGUUUUAAUUGGCAGAAUAAGUAAAUAUUCCGAUCACGAUCAUCGGCCUCAUAUGAAAUGCCCCCGCCAGGUGGCGGCAUCGCCCCACGGUGAAUUGUGCCAAGACGCUCGCCCGAGUGGCCGUGGCCACGAAACUGACAAGCAAGCAACAUCCAUCCCAUCCAUUAUUCAGCUCUCAUGAAAUAUUCACCCGCAACACGAGUCGAACCGCGAACUCAGAGGAGUCCCGUGCCAAAUUUGAGGGAUUGCAUCCGUGACGGCCACAUCCAGAGGGAUUGCUGGAUCCAUGACACGGGUGACAGAGGCGCCACGCUGGGAGACAAAUGCGUCCGGGCGUGGUGCUCCCUCGUGUGCCGUGCCGACCUUCAUAGGUGCUUGCAAACAGAACUUGCCCCAACAGUCUGA